CACCGCGUGUCUGCGCGCCGCUCCGCCAGCGCGGUGACCGCAGCAAGCGCACUCGCUGCCGGCUUCGGACGGGAAUUCAUCCACUCGAGGCCGGAUAAAUAAUGCGGCGGGGUUCGCGCAGCCCCGCGUGAAGCGGCGAUGCGCGGGGCGGCGGCCGGGGCCGGGCGCUGAGCUGCGGGCAGCGCCCAGCCGGGAGCAUGCUGAGCCCCAAGAUCCGGCAGGCCAGGAGAGCCCGGUCAAGGAGUUUGGUGAUGGGUGAACAGAUUGGGCCUCCCUCCAGACCAUCCUCUCCAAAUCCUCAAGAACGUGUGCUCAAGUGUGGCUGGCUAAAGAAACAAAGGAGCAUUAUGAAGAAUUGGCAGCAGCGGUGGUUUGUGCUGCGUGGGGAUCAGCUCUUCUAUUAUAAGGAUGAAGAGGAGACUAAACCUCAGGGUUUGAUCCUACUGCAAGGCAGUCAGGUGAAUGAGCUGCCUCCUAAUCCUGAUGAACCAGGGAAACAUCUCUUUGAAAUUACCCCAGGUGGUGCAGGGGACCGGGAAAAGAUGCCUGUCAAUCAUGAGGCUUUCCUGCUCAUGGCUAAUUCCCAGAAUGAAAUGGAAGAUUGGGUGAAAGCCAUCCGACGGGUUAUAUGGGCUCCAUUUGGUGGAGGGAUCUUUGGGCAGCGCCUGGAGGACACGGUUCAGUACGAGAGGAAGUAUGGCCAGCGCCUGGCGCCGCUGCUGGUGGAACAGUGUGUGGAUUUUAUUCGGGAGCGAGGCCUCACAGAGGAGGGGCUCUUUCGGAUGCCUGGACAAGCCAACCUUGUCAAAGAUCUGCAGGAUUCUUUUGACUGUGGAGAGAAACCCCUUUUUGACAGCAACACAGAUGUUCACACUGUGGCGUCCCUCCUGAAGCUUUACCUUCGAGAGCUGCCAGAGCCUGUCAUCCCCUUUGCCAAAUACGAAGACUUUCUUUCUUGUGGACAGCUGCUCUCAAAAGAUGAGGGAGAGGGUACUCAGGAACUGGUUAAACAGGUGAAGAAUUUGCCCCAAGCCAACUACAACCUCCUCAAAUACAUAUGCAAGUUCCUUGAUGAAGUUCAGGCUCACUCCAGCAUUAACAAGAUGAGUGUCCAGAACCUGGCUACAGUAUUUGGACCAAACAUACUGCGGCCCAAAUUGGAGGAUCCAGUGACCAUGAUGGAAGGCACCUCGCUGGUUCAGCACCUGAUGACGGUCCUGAUAAGCGAGCAGGGGCGGAUCUUCGCCGUUCCUCAGGCGGAGGUGCCAGGGAGCCAGCUGGAGAUCAGACCCAUGCGCCAGCGCAGCACCGUCGAGUGGAUCUCCGAGGAGGACGGGGAGGACAGCAGGUCACAGCACAGCGCUGCCAGCCCUGCGGAUCUGCCUUCUGGCAGUGCUGUGCCUCUCGAGGCCCCUCCAGGACCUGCAGUGAAAAUCACUCCUCCCGAGCACAGCGGCAAAUCGACUCAGCCCGCCACGAGCCCCAGUAAAAGAGUGCAGACGCUGCCUCCAUGGAAGUAUUCCUUCCGCCAGCAGGGAGCACGGUCCGUGAGCCCGAAGCUGGGCAGCUCGUCCUUAGACAUCCCCAACCUCUCCUCCAGCGGGAACUGGCUGAUGAACGGCCUGUACUCCCUCCGCGGCCACCGCCGGACCGCCUCUGGGGAACGAGUGAAGGACUCGUGCUCCUCCCAGAGACUCUCCACUUACGACAAUGUCCCUUCAUCCAGCCUGUCCCUCAGCACACACAGCAUGGCCAGCACCACCUGGUCCACUUCAUCCUGUGAGAUCUCCGUGAUGGACUCCGUGAGCAGCUGCCCGGCCUGCCGGGCCAGUGACUCUUCGACUUUAAGCUCCCUAAAAACAGAGUGGGUAACUCAGGGCUCGCUGUCUCAGAGCGAGGUGAAGACAGCAGAUCUGGAGAACAGCAUGGACAGGUUUGAAGCCUGCAGCAGCAGCAGCAGCGAACAAAGUGACCCAGCUGCAGCUUCCCGAGACUCUGUCCAGUGCUCCAGGGCCUUACAGAGCUUGGUGGUGGAGCUAAAGACAGAACUGAGCAAACAGAGGACUGAGUAUGAGACUAGUAUCAAAAGAAUUGAAGAAACAAGUGCAGACCUGAGGAACCAAGUGGUUAGAUUAGAAGAAGAACUGGACCAAGAACGAAAGAAAUACACAAUGCUGGAGAUAAAGCUGAGGAAUUCUGAACGUGCUCGUGAAGAUGCUGAGAAGAGAAAUUACCUCCUGCAGAAGGAAAUGGAAGAAUUUUUUUCAACAUUAGGAUGUUUAACUGUUGGGAGUCAAAGUGCUAAAGUCUCCAAGUAGAACAAGUCUCUGAGGGUUUUCUGAGCCAAAAAUCUAGCAGUAGUAGCUGCAAGAAAAAAAAAUAAUCUCCUGAGCUGAUAUAUGUAUUAAGGUAGAAGAUGGAAGAUUCUUAUCAUCACAACACAUCCAAACUUUGAUAGCAAAACAUAUGUUCUUACAGGGAGAUGAGGGGACAGGAAGAAUACUGCAAACAACCCAUCAUCACAACUUGCUUGCUUCUGCUAAGGAAAAAAAUCAUUAGAAUGAAGCUGCUCUACUGCUGCCCUGGAUUCCUUACUGCCCCGGGCCUGAGGCAGGUACCUGCAUGUUCAGCAGCAGCUGCCUGCCACCUGCAGGUUCAGCGGGUGUGAGCAACAUCCUCAUCUUUUUUUCCCACUUCUGCCUUGGAAUCAUUACCAAUGGUCACCAGUGAUCCUUUAAGGAAUAAAAAGGCCCUUUAAAACAGCAGCAUCAGAAGCGUAAUGUGAGAGAGAAGCACUAACAGUGACUCAACUGGAAGAGCACAGUGUGGCAAGUCACCACAAACUAAACCUUAGUACUGGAGGGUGUUCUGAACCAGGUUGUAAGUAGAACACCAGGACUGAUAAAAAGCAACAUUUAAUCCAAGUACUAGUAGCAAGCAGGGCACUUUAAUGCCUUCUUUUAUUUCUACCCAAAACAUAGACACCUUUCACUGUAUCCAUCCUGACAGCCCACAGCUCUCUUACACUAUUUAUAUUGUGUUAUCUCCUGUGUGUAUUGAGUGCAGACUGCUCCCUUUAGUUCACACUACAACCUCAAGAAUUGAGCCCUGACUGAGAGACUAAACACCAAAUACACCAGAUGAGCAGUGAACAAGGACUGCUGGGUAACUCUCCUAAGUAUUUAACCUUAGGUAACUGCUAACCAACCCACCUAUCCCAAACUUGCAGAUAUAGAAUAG